GGAUGGACAGAAAGGACAGGAAGACUUUGGAAACAAAAAUAAAGACAUUGACACAAGACCCAGAACUGGAUGCUGCAGUUUUCCCAAACCAAAAGUUGCAGUCUGUAGAAGGGCUGGAGGGUGAACACAAAACUGGAUGACACAGCAGGGCCAUUGGGAAGAGACCAAGCGUGGGAAAAAGGAAGCACUACUGUCUCCCAUUUUACAGCUGGGGAGGUGAGGCACAGAGAGAUUAAGUGACAUGCCCAAGAUCAGACAAGGAGCUUGUGGCAAGGUCAGGAUCUGAACCCAGAUCUCCUGAGUCUUGCUGCCUUAACCAUCAGACCACACUUCUUUCCAACCUAGCUAGAAGAACCACAGUAAAACUCAGGAUCUGGCUGAACCACCAUCCCCAAAAGGAUUCUGCAUCAGAGCAGAGCUUUCCUUGUUGAGGGAGGAGGAGAUAUACAGCUUUAUAUAAUAUAAAUAUAUCAGGCUUUUGAACUCUUGUCUGAGCAGUGAAUUAUCUAUAAAAUUCCUAGGCAAGCAAUUUCUUUUGUCCUCAUUCUAUUCAGCCUAAGCCAAAAAGACACAAACCAAAAAAGUCAUUAUGUUACACAUUGGAUUUCACGCAAACAUUCCACUGCUCAGCUACUGGGACCCGUAAAUCCAUUUCCCAUGACAGAUUUAUAUUUCAUGCAUGAAAGUUUAGUUUACAAAUCCAACAUGACCCUUUCAGUCUUUGAAGCCUGGCCACUAUUUGAUCCACUUGUAACUCAAAGCUCUCAAUACACAAGCUCUGAUCAGAUUUUCUACAGCUGGGUCUUGAUCCUGCUUCUGUUGAAGCCAA